GUUGGGAUAGCCCAAUUGGUAGAGGCCGUAAAAAUUCGUUUGUCAAAUACUUAGCCGAAAGGAAUGAACGAUGGACGGUUAUCUCCGGAAAAGAGACGUGUUGUGGGUUCGAAUCCCACUCCCAACA
rnacentral:tRNA from 1 species